CCCACUCUAACGGGUCAGGCUUUUAUCCCAUUCCCGGAUGUGUCGCCUCACUGAUGCCAACAACUUGAACACAUCUUUAAAUUUUUCAGAAAUUUCGGCAGCACCUCCCUAUGGUCUUCAAGUACACGAAAUAGACUAACACAUUGUAGUCUAAAUAUGCACCCGAAGAACAUCAAGAGAUAUGUACUGACCGAAAUUUCAAAAAAUAUAAAGACGUGCUCAAGUCGUUAACACCGACCUAAGUGAGAUCGAAACAUACAAGAACAAUCCCAAAACGGGGACUAUUUGAGAUCCACUCCUACUAAGUGAAUCUCAAACGAGUUUCUAAGCUUCCUAAACUAUAUGAAAAUAUGCACAUGUCAAGUUACAUGGAAUACACGCAUUUGAUCAUAUUGAUUAUUGGAAAAAAAGAAGACAGACUUUUUCAAGGAUGGAGAAGAAAUCAAAGAAACACAAAGAAGAUCACUUUCUUAGACUCUCAGAUGAGAUUAUAAUCACUAUAUUCACCAAGUUGAGCAAUCUUCAAUAACCCAAAAUGUACAAAAUGUAUUGGACUAUGGCAUCAGGUAGGUCAUCCAUUUUCUGAGGAUAUAUAUUAAUCAAACAAUUUACAGUCAGUUUUGAUACAACAUCAUCAUGAUUCAUGAGAUAUUGAAAUUCAUGAACAAAUUAGCAAAAUGCAUUGUAUAAAUGCUUCUGGUUGCCUCGCCACGCCAUACUUUUUUUUAUUAUUAUUUUGAUAAAAACCUAC
rnacentral:lncRNA from 1 species